rnacentral:rRNA from 1 species
CGUGAAAAGGGAAACAACCCAGACCGUCAGCUAAGGUCCCAAAGUUAUGGUUAAGUGGGAAACGAUGUGGGAAGGCUUAGACAGCUAGGAGGUUGGCUUAGAAGCAGCCACCCUUUAAAGAAAGCGUAAUAGCUCACUAGUCGAGUCGGCCUGCGCGGAAGAUUUAACGGGGCUCAAACCAUACACCGAAGCUACGGGUAUCAUCUUAGGAUGAUGCGGUAGAGGAGCGUUCUGUAAGCCUGUGAAGGUGAGUUGAGAAGCUUGCUGGAGGUAUCAGAAGUGCGAAUGCUGACAUGAGUAACGAUAAUGGGUGUGAAAAACACCCACGCCGAAAGACCAAGGUUUCCUGCGCAACGUUAAUCGACGCAGGGUUAGUCGGUCCCUAAGGCGAGGCUGAAAAGCGUAGUCGAUGGAAAACAGGUUAAUAUUCCUGUACUUCUGGUUAUUGCGAUGGAGGGACGGAGAAGGCUAGGCCAGCUUGGCGUUGGUUGUCCAAGUUUAAGGUGGUAGGCUGGAAUCUUAGGUAAAUCCGGGAUUCUAAGGCCGAGAGCUGAUGACGAGUGUUCUUUUAGAACACGAAGUGGUUGAUGCCAUGCUUCCAAGAAAAGCUUCUAAGCUUCAGGUAACCAGGAACCGUACCCCAAACCGACACAGGUGGUUGGGUAGAGAAUACCAAGGCGCUUGAGAGAACUCGGGUGAAGGAACUAGGCAAAAUGGCACCGUAACUUCGGGAGAAGGUGCGCCGAUGGAGGUGAAGCAUUUACUGCGUAAGCCCCUGUCGGUCGAAGAUACCAGGCCGCUGCGACUGUUUAUUAAAAACACAGCACUCUGCAAACACGAAAGUGGACGUAUAGGGUGUGACGCCUGCCCGGUGCCGGAAGGUUAAUUGAUGGGGUUAGCUAACGCGAAGCUCUUGAUCGAAGCCCCGGUAAACGGCGGCCGUAACUAUAACGGUCCUAAGGUAGCGAAAUUCCUUGUCGGGUAAGUUCCGACCUGCACGAAUGGCGUAACGAUGGCGGCGCUGGCUCCACCCGAGACUCAGUGAAAUUGAAAUCGCUGUGAAGAUGCAGUGUAUCCGCGGCUAGACGGAAAGACCCCGUGAACCUUUACUAUAGCUUUGCACUGGACUUUGAAUUUGCUUGUGUAGGAUAGGUGGGAGGCUUUGAAGCGUGAACGCCAGUUUGCGUGGAGCCAACCUUGAAAUACCACCCUGGCAACUUUGAGGUUCUAACUCAGGUCCGUUAUCCGGAUCGAGGACAGUGUAUGGUGGGUAGUUUGACUGGGGCGGUCUCCUCCUAAAGAGUAACGGAGGAGUACGAAGGUGCGCUCAGACCGGUCGGAAAUCGGUCGUAGAGUAUAAAGGCAAAAGCGCGCUUGACUGCGAGACAGACACGUCGAGCAGGUACGAAAGUAGGUCUUAGUGAUCCGGUGGUUCUGUAUGGAAGGGCCAUCGCUCAACGGAUAAAAGGUACUCCGGGGAUAACAGGCUGAUACCGCCCAAGAGUUCAUAUCGACGGCGG